rnacentral:rRNA from 1 species
UGGGGAAUAUUGGACAAUGGGCGAAAGCCUGAUCCAGCCAUGCCGCGUGUGUGAAGAAGGUCUUCGGAUUGUAAAGCACUUUAAGUUGGGAGGAAGGGCAUUAACCUAAUACGUUAGUGUUUUGACGUUACCGACAGAAUAAGCACCGGCUAACUCUGUGCCAGCAGCCGCGGUAAUACAGAGGGUGCAAGCGUUAAUCGGAAUUACUGGGCGUAAAGCGCGCGUAGGUGUUUUGUUAAGUUGGAUGUGAAAUCCCCGGGCUCAACCUGGGAACUGCAUUCAAAACUGACUGACUAGAGUAUGGUAGAGGGUGGUGGAAUUUCCUGUGUAGCGGUGAAAUGCGUAGAUAUAGGAAGGAACACCAGUGGCGAAGGCGACCACCUGGACUAAUACUGACACUGAGG